UCUUCUCCGUUCUUCCCUUUCUUUCUUUUUCUGCGAUCUCAGUUCAACAGAACUGAGUCUUUCUCGUUUAAGGAUUUAGUAUUCAAAUCGAGUGUCUUGUUAGAUCGAAUCAAAGGAGGUUGGGUUGUAGCUGAUUGAUCUCGAGAGAAGAAGGAGUGAUUCUGUUGAAUCAAUUAGGGUUCUGAUCUUCAGUUGGAAGAGACAUCAAGAGGAGUUUUGAGUUCUAUUGGAUGAAGUUCGAAUGGGGUGGUGUUUAAUUAAAGUUCUGAAGCUGUUCUUAUGAAGAAUCCUAGAACCAGGUAAUCUAGGGUUUCAAAUUAAUUCGAUGCUCUUCUUGGAAUUGUAGUAUUUGAGUGUGUGUUUGAUUGAAGUCUAAGCGGGUGUAUGAAGUUUAAUUUGAUUUCAUAGAGAAUCUUGAGUUUCAGUUCUUCCCUAGUCAAAUUAGAAAUUAGGGUUUGAGUUUUAAUUAGGAAUCACCUAAUUGGUACUGGAAGGAAAAUGAAUUGAUGAUUUAUAGUUAGAGUUUUGGAUUACGUUUUGGAAUUGAGAAGUUAUAGUUAGAGGUUAAGUUACAGGAGAUGAAGAUAAUUAUGAUUGGUGUUUUGAAUUGGAAGAAGAACAAGGUAAUCAAGAGAAUUGUUGCUGAUGAAGUUCAAGUGAUAGGUGAAUUCGAGUUAGUGGAUUUGAAUUAUGAGAUUGCUGACUUGAGGAGUUUGGUAAUGAAACAGAGACUUUGGUAGUGAUGAAUAUGAAUUAGUAUGUGUUAGGCGAGUGCAAGAAUAACCUGGAGAUGAAGUCAAGUUAAUGAAGAUAAAGAUGAUGUUGAAGGUACUUUGUUGAUGUGUUUGUUCAGUUGAGCUUAACUGAGGAUGUUGGUGGUUGGUAAUUGAAGUUGUAAGUUGAUUUACAGGGGAUGAGAUGAAAUAGAUAGUAGAUUUUUAAAUUGUGGUUUGCAUUGGCAGUUGAGGUGGAGAUGAGUUUGGAACUGGAGUUGUUGAAAGUUGCAAGAAAGGUAUGGAUGAAUUUUUAUCAUGAGUUUAGUUAUGGUGUUGUUUAUUGAUGGUUCUAGUGUUAUAGUUAUAAGACUAGUGAUAAUGCUACUAAAUAGUGGAUUAUAAGUAGAGAUGAAGUUAUGGGUUGCUGGUAGUAUUAAGAUUUGAGGAAGCUUGUUAGUUGUUAGAAAUGAGUUAUACAAAUGGAUUUUAGUUUUGUAAUUGGAAAUUUUAGAAUUGCAGUUGGGUUUAGAGUUAGAAAUGCAUUUCUUGAUCUUGUCAUGUUUUUGUGUUGUAUUAUGAAUUGUUACCUGUUAGUCAUCCUAGUCAGAUUGUCUGACUGAGUCUGUCCUUAGCUGACUUAGGAUAUCUGACUGAGAUGAAUCAGUCUAACCCUGGGUUGACUCAUUAAUCUGAUUUGACCAGACCUGACUCAGUGACUUGUCUGAGUUGAUUAAUUUGACUAUCUCGACCGUUGACCAUACUUUGAAUCCUUUGACCAGUGGACCUUGAUCUUGGACUGACGUUCAAUGUUAGUUCGACCCUUGACCGUUAUAGGCCGUCAUUUGACUUUGUUGGAGCAGGCCUUAGAUUUAUGGGUCGUGCCAGUUCGGGCCUAAUGGGUUUGGGCUUAGUGCCAUGUAUUCUUAGUUUGAUGUUUUGGACCCUUUAUGGUCCGAAUUGACCUCUGGUUCUUUCUACAAAAUUGUAGAUCUUUUUAAGACACAUCUAAUGGACUAUACAACCAAUCCAAUAGAAUUAGUAAACCUUUAGAUGUGUUAAAUAUAGAUAAUGAAAAUGUGUAGAACCAUAAUUGGGAUUAGAAUAGAUAAUUCACUUAGCUAUAACUAGAGAACUGUAUGAGAUCGUGUUAUGAGCCAUGUAUGAGCCUUUUGGCUAACCUUUAGUGUGCUUCUGUGAUUAACAGUUAGUCGUUAUUAACAUCGAUCGAUUCAAAGAUGAACCAGCGGAUUGUAGAUCUAAAGGUACGCGAGGCUUGUCAUCAAAAGAGAGUGCGUGUAGAAUAAGGUACUGGUAAGGUACAUAUCGUUUAUGACCUGGGGACGGAAACCUCAUGGGCGCUUUAACGAUCAUUGAAGAAUCCGCAACAGUCAUGCCUUGCUACUCCGAAGGAAGACGUCGCUCAACUAUUAUUUAUGUUGUGAAUGUGUGCCGGUUUAUUGGUUGGUAGAACUUUAUAAUUUCAGUAUUACUAUUAUUUUAAUAUGCUUUAUAUGUUUUCCGUGUUUUAUCGGUUUUCAGUAAAACAUGCAUUGUCUUUAAAUCAUUCUAGUGUUUACUUGAAAGUUAGUUGUUAUUUCUACGGGGAACCCCUUUUAGGGAUGAUGCGCUCACCCAUUCCCACAUUCAGAGACAGAUCAAGUUAUGCACGUGGCGAUGAAAGCUUUGAGGAGUUGGUUUCGUUUGUUGGUUAGCUUCUGCUAUGUUUAUAUUCUAUUUGUAAAUCAACUCACUAUUAAAUAUGUAACACUUAAGAGGAGUUCUUGUAUUUAUUUCAGAGAGGGUUUAGAUUCGGGUUAAUCUUUGUUUAGAACUUCUUCCUUAAUGUUUAAAUAGAUAUUUUACAUCGUUAGUGCCU